CAGGUAAGGCACUCUUUGCAUCAUAUGUAUCAAUCGAAAGCUCUGAAGAAAGCUCUCCUCUCCACAAAGCUUUGACGAAGGAAGAACACAGCUCAAUCGAAAGCUGUCUUCUCCACCAUCACCAGAUUAUAUGGUUUCCACAUAUUACACGGUUCCUUCAUGAACUAUGGUGCAAACACAAACUUGGUUCUCUUCAGCCACUAACUUUGGCUCUCUUCAAAGCAAAUAUCUGAGACUCAUCUGAGAGUACAGGUAGCAUGCCACCUCCAAGGACUUAGCUUGGGAGGCUAAAGGCGGACACACUUUUGU